rnacentral:tRNA from 1 species
GCAUCCUUGGCUCAAUGGUAGAGCGGCUGCCUUGUAAGCAGCGGGUUGCGUGUUCGAGUCACGCAGGAUGCUCCA